rnacentral:rRNA from 1 species
AGGACGAACGCUGGCGGCGUGCUUAACACAUGCAAGUCGAGCGGAAAGGCCAUUUCGGUGGUACUCGAGCGGCGAACGGGUGAGUAACACGUGAGUAAUCUGCCCCUGGCUUUGGGAUAGCCACCGGAAACGGUGAUUAAUACCGGAUACGACCGCCCUCGCAUGGGGGUGUGUGGAAAGUUUUUCGGCCAGGGAUGUGCUCGCGGCCUAUCAGCUUGAUGGUGGGUAAUGGCUCACCAUGGCUUCGACGGUAGCCGGCUGAGAGGGUGACCGGUCACACUGGGACUGAGACACGGCCCAGACUCCUACGGGAGCAGCAGUGGGGAAUA